CUUAUACACAUGAAAGGAAGCUAAGGAGUUUCCAGAAAGUUGUUGGGAGGUCCUAGAAAAAUCUGGAGAUAAACAUUCUUCUGAAGAGUGAGGCACAACUUGGGAUCUGGGAUCAGAUACAUCAAGAUACAUGAGAAGCCCAGAGUCUGGCCCAACAACAUACCCAUAAAUCAAUAAUUCAAUGGAGUCUGCUGUUGCAAUUCACAACAUUACCAGGUAGGCCACGCUGGCAUACCUGGAAGAGGAAAAGCAGACAAAAGCCUCUGAGCCUGGGACUAACCACUGCCUCUGUCCUCAGCAGGACCCCCAGCAAGGAGACCUGAAGAGAUGAUGCUGGAUCUUCUGGGACCAUUUCCUCUCCUUCUGGUGCUGCUGGGAUCAUGGGGGCCAGUGCCACUUGCUGCUAGGCCUCCAAACCUGAAAGGGUGCAAGGGUUUGAAAUUCAGCAUGUA